rnacentral:rRNA from 1 species
AUUGAACGCUGGCGGCAGGCCUAACACAUGCAAGUCGAGCGGAGCGGCGGACGGGUGAGUAAUGCCUAGGAAUCUGCCUGGUAGUGGGGGAUAACGUCCGGAAACGGGCGCUAAUACCGCAUACUAUCAGAUGAGCCUAGGUGGGAUUAGCUAGUUGGUGGGGUAAAGGCCUCCCAAGGCGUCGCUCCUUAACUGGUCUGAGAGGAUGAUCAGUAACACGGGAACUGAGGCACGGUCCAGACUCCGACGGGAGGCAGCAGUGGGGAUUAUUGGACAAUUGGCGAAAGCCUGAUCCAGCCAUGCCGAGUGUGUGAAGAAGGUCUUCGGAUUGUAAAGCACUUUAAUUUGGGAGGCUUUACCAACAGAAUAUGCACCGGCGAACUUCGUGCCAGCCGCCGCGGUAAUAC